rnacentral:lncRNA from 1 species
AUAGAGUUUACACAGACAGAGAUAAGGCUCUGGUCUGGACUACAGCAGAGUUAUAUAGAGUUUACACAGACAGAGAUAAGGCUCUGGUUUGGACUACAGCAGAGUUAUAUAGAGUUUACACAGACAGAGAUAAGGCUCUGGUCUGGACUACAGCAGAGUUAUAUAGAGUUUACACAGACAGAGAUAAGGCUCUGGUUUGGACUACAGCAGAGUUAUAUAGAGUUUACACAGACAGAGAUAAGGCUCUGGUUUGGACUACAGCAGAGUUAUAUAGAGUUUACACAGACAGAGAUAAGGCUCUGGUUUGGACUACAGAUGAGUCAAAUGAGUCAGAUGAGUUUGGACUACAGAUGAGUCUACAUAUAGAGUUUACACAGACAGAGAUAAAUCAAAUCAAAUCAAAUGUAUUUAUAUAGCCCUUCUUACAUCAGCUGAUAUCUCAAAGUGCUGUACAGAAACCCAGCCUAAAACCCCAAACAGCAAGCAAUGCAGGUGUAGAAGCACGGAGGCUAGGAAAAAUUCCCUAGAAAGGCCAAAACCUAGGAAGAAACCUAGAGAGGAACCAGUCUAUGAGGGGUGGCCAGUCCUCUUCUGGCUGUGCCGGGGUGGCGAUUAUAACAGAACAUGGCCAAGAUGUUCAAAUGUUCAUAAAUGACCAGCAUGGUCAAAUAAUAAUAAUCACAGUAGUUGUCGAGGGUGCAACAAGUCAGCACCUCAAGAGUAAGUGUCAGGUGGCUUUUUCAUAGCCGAUCUUUGAGAGUAUCUCAACCACUCCUGCUGUCUCUAGAGAGUUGAAAACAGCAGGUCUGGGACAGGUAGCACAUCCGGUGAACAGGUCAGGGUUCCAUAGCCGCAGGCAGAACAGUUGAAACUGGAGCAGCAGCACGGCCAGGUGGACUGGGGACAGCAAGGAGUCAUCAUGCCAGGUAGUCCUGAGGCAUGGUCCUAGAGCUCAGGUCCUCCGAGAGAAAGAAAGAAAGCGAGAAAGAGAGAAUUAGAGAGAGCAUAUUUAAAUUCACACAGGACACCGGAUAAGGCAAGAGAAAUACUCCAGAUGUAACAGACUGACCCUAGCCCCCCGACACAUAAACUACUGCAGCAUAAAUACUGGAGGAUGAGACAGGAGGGGUCAGGAGACACUGUGGCCCCAUCCGAUGAUACCCCCUGACAGGGCCAAACAGGCAGGAUAUAACUCCACCCACUUUACCAAAGCACAGCCCCCACACCACUAGAGGGAUAUCUUCAACCACCAACUUACCAUCCUGAGACAAGGCCAAGUAUAGCCCACAAAGAUCUACACCACGGCACAACCCAAGGGGGGGCGCCAACCCAGACAGGAAGACCACGUCAGUGACUCAACCCACUCAAGUGAUGCACCCCUCCUAGGUACGGCAUGGAAGAGCACCAGUAAGCCAGUGACUCAGCCCCUGUAAUAGGGUUAGAGGCAGAAAAUCCCAGUGGAGAGAUGGGAACCGGCCAGGCAGAGACAGCAAGGGCGGUUCGUUGCUCCAGAGCCUUUCCGUUCACCUUCACACUCCUGGGCCAAACUACACUUAAUCAUAGGACCUACUGAAGAGUUGAGUCUUCAGUAAAGACUUAAAGGUUGAGACUGAGUCUGCGUCUCUCACAUGGAUAGGCAGACCAUUCCAUAAAAAUGGAGCUCUAUAGGAGAAAGCCCUGCCUCCAGCUGUUUGUUUAGAAAUUCUAGGUACAAUUAGGAGGCCUGCGUCUUGUGACGGUAGCGUACGUGUAGGUAUGUACGGCAGGACCAAAUCGGAAAGAUAGGUAGGAGCAAGCCCAUGUAAUGCUUUGUAGGUUAGCAGUAAAACCUUGAAAUCAGCCCUUGCCUUAACAGGAGAUAAGGCUCUGGUCUGGACUACAGCAGAGUUAUAUAGAGUUUACACAGACAGAGAUAAGGCUCUGGUUUGGACUACAGCAGAGUUAUAUAGAGUUUACACAGACAGAGAUAAGGCUCUGGUCUGGACUACAGCAGAGUUAUAUAGAGUUUACACAGACAGAGAUAAGGCUCUGGUUUGGACUACAGCAGAGUUAUAUAGAGUUUACACAGACAGAGAUAAGGCUCUGGUUUGGACUACAGAAAUUGGAGUCUGUCUGUCUCUCUCCUCUCUCUUCUCUGUUCUCUCCAAUCCCAAUUCUCUCUCCCUAUCGAUCUCCUUCCCCAUUAGUUAAGCUACCUGCUUGACACCCCCCUGUCGCUGUUUCUCUCUACCCCCUCUCCCUCCUCUCUCCCUCCCCUUUCUCCUUCUCUCUCUCCAUCAACUCCUCUCUCCCAUCUCUCUCUCUCCCUCUCUCUCCCUCACCUCCUCUCUCUCCCUCCUCUCUCUCCCUUCAUUCGUCUACUCCCUUCCCUUGUCUACUCCCUUCACUUGUCUACUCCCUCCCCUCCUCUCUCUCCCUUCACUUGUCUACUCCCUUCACUUGUCUACUCCCUCCCCUCCUCUCUCUCCCUUCACUUGUCUACUCCCUCCCCUCCUCUCUCUCCCUUCACUUGUCUACUCCCUUCCCUUGUCUCUCCCUCCCCUCCUCUCUCUCCCUUCACUUGUCUACUCCCUCCCCUCCUCUCUCUCCCUUCACUUGUCUACUCCCUCCCCUCCUCUCUCUCCCUUCACUUGUCUACUCCCUUCACUUGUCUACUCCCUCCCCUCCUCUCUCUCCCUUCACUUGUCUACUCCCUCCCCUCCUCUCUCUCCCUUCACUUGUCUACUCCCUUCACUUGUCUACUCCCUCCCCUCCUCUCUCUCCCUUCACUUGUCUACUCCCUCCCCUCCUCUCUCUCCCUUCACUUGUCUACUCCCUUCACUUGUCUACUCCCUCCCCUCCUCUCUCUCCCUUCACUUGUCUACUCCCUCCCCUCCUCUCUCCCCCUUCACUUGUCUACUCCCUCCCCUCCUCUCUCUCCCUUCACUUGUCUACUCCCUUCACUUGUCUACUCCCUCCCCUCCUCUCUCUCCCUUCACUUGUCUACUCCCUUCACUUGUCUACUCCCUUCACUCAGUAAGAUAUUGGAGGGUAUUGUGAGUAGACAAAUAUGGGAGUACAUGAAAAAUAAUGAUCUGAUUACAGCCAAUCAGCAUGCUUAUUGCAAAAACCAUUGCACUACCACUGCAAUGGUUGACAUGACAUGACAGUGGUUCAAUGCUAUGGAUAAUGGCAGGUUUGUGGGUGUAUUAUUUUUGUAUUUUACUGCAGCGUUUGAUUUAGUGGAUCAUGAAAUAAUUUUGACAAAAUGAAUGCAUUAUGGUUUUAAGGAGGUAGCAUUGAAUUGGGUACAGUGAUAUCUAACUGACAGGAAACAGUCCACCUAUAUCAAUGGUUCAUUUUCUUCCCCUCAUGCUUUAAACUGUGGCAUACCGCAGGGCAGCUGCCUUGGGCCACUUCUUUAUUUAAUAUAUACCAACGACCUUCCUUAUGCCUUAUCUGUAACUCAAGCUACUAUAUUUGCAGAUGAUACUACAAUUUAUACAGCAAGACAAUCGGUUCAACAGGUACAGCAAGCUUUACAAGGAGAUUUUGAGAAUAUCAGGGAGUUGGUUUGCCGGAACAAACUUGUUUUAACAAGAAAACCAAAGUUAUGUUGGUCUGUUCCACUAAGAAAAGGCCAACACAACAUGGGGAUACAAUUAAGUAUGGAGGGAGUUCAAAUUAAGGAAGUGUCAGAAACCAAACUACCGGGAGUGCAGCUAGACAACUGAGGAAGUGGCAGAAACUAAACUACCGGGAAUGCAGCUAGACAACUGCUUAUCAUGGUCGUCUCAAAUAACUAAUCUAUGUAAAACAAAUAUUAAAACAGCAUGUAUGAUCAGAAGGAUAGCUAAAUAUUUACCAGGAAAGAUUCUUAAGUAAAUAACACAAGCAUUAAUUGAGAGUCAGGUGAACUACUGUUCUGUGGUCUGGGGAAAUGCAUCAUCAAGUGAAGUUAGGAGGCUGCAGAUUGCACAGAACAAAGCAGCAAGGAUUGCUUUAAGGUGGAGAUAUGGUUCUUCUGUUGUAGUCAUGCGCAAUGCUCUUGGUUGGUCAUCAAUCAACAAGAUAAUUGAAAAAAACAUGCUUAUUUUAUUUAAUAAUAUACACCAUUUAAAACAGCCAAACUCUAUUCACAACAGUAUUCAGUUGGUAAGAGACAGACACUCAGUAAAUUCUAGGAAUAGAUUGUCCACCAUCUAUGUGUUUUCCAGACAGAAAAGAGAAAUAGGCAAAAUAACAUUUUAUUUAGAGCAAUAUAGAAAUUGAAUAAUUUAACUGAGCGAAACCUCUCAAUAUAUACAUUCAAACAAUACUUUAAAACCAUUUAAAUAUAAUACAUAGAAAUGUUGUGAUGGACUAUAGUAGAUGAAAAAUCAAUAUAUUUUUAGACUGUUAGAGUAUUUAUCUGGUCAAUAUGUUAGUGUAUUAUGUCUGUUUGAAACAGUGUGUUAUAUGUGAAAAUGUGAUCGCAUUAUAAAUUGUAUUUUAAUGUUUAAGGACUCUUGGAAGAUUAGUCCAAAUGAGGACUAAAAGAGAUCCAAAUAAAAAUCAAAUCAAGUCUCUCCCUCCUCUCUCUCUCUCCCCUCCUCUCUCUUCCCCUCUCUCUCUCUCCUCCCUCCCCAAAAG